CAUGCCAUAACUGGUAUAACUAAGUAGAUUUUAAUUCUACUACUACUAGUACUACUAUAAGUAUAAGUAUAGUCUAUAGUAGUAUAGAUCACGUAUAGCAUAUAAUAUAUAAUAAUUAUAUCAUCUAGACUCUAGGUAAAUCUCUAUAUUAUAGACUAUUAUAACUAUAGAUCAGAUCUAGAUUUAGAUAAUAAUUAUAAUACUAAUUAUAUAGGUAGUAAUAUAUUUACAGGGUUGGGGUUAGUAGGAUAGUAGCUUGCGAUGAAGACUGUGAUUUUUAAUUUCCGGAUCAUUAUCAUGGUGCCUUUGAAUCCACCCAGCUCAUAUGCGUACCUAAAAAUAGUUGGGAUAAGCAAAAGCAGUUUGUCACUGUGCUGGCCUCUUGACACACUUGUUAAUCUUGAGCCACAGAAACAGAUGAUCUUUACAUUAUCUGACCCAUAGAUUACUGUAACUUACUAUGUCUGAAAGUGAAACUUUACUUUUUUUUUUACUUUUAAAAUACUGUUAGAAUGUUCUUAUUAUCAGAUGCAUCAGUAAAAAUAAAAAAGAGGGAACUGUGAGACCUGAUUAAAUUAUAAUGAUUGCUUCAAAACCUCAUUAUUAAUAAUAAUACAAUUUUACUAUCCAAGAUUGAAUGCUCAUUAGAUUGUUUUAAUUGAAAUAUUUUUUUUAAGAAGUUGGUUUCUAGUAGGCUACUCUUCCUCAUCGAGAAUUUGUCAAAGUUGGCAUGAUUUAUUUACCUAAUAUUCUUGUACCUGACUAAAAUCAAUGGACUUGAUGACCUUGUUGCCAAGUGGAGUACUUCUCAAAAGGAGCAGAUCAAGACCUAAAUCUCUGCUAAACAUAUCUGGACAUAAAAAUGGAAUUUAGGAAGCCUAAUUGUUUUCUUUCUGUAAGAUGCUCUUCCAAUGAAGUACCUCUAUGGCAGCGAAUGGAGCGAACUGCACCAGUUAUGUUGUAUGAUGUGCAUCCUGAUACAGAUGAAGGUGCUAUUUUAUCAAGUUUGUUUCAUAAAACACUUGUUUACCCAGAUUUUUUAAUUCAACGACUCUUUCGUGUUCAAAACCCCAUUUUGUGGUUGCAUUAUGCUCUGUAAGUUCAGUAAUACAGGCAUCUGAAGUAGUUAUUUCCCCUGCAUUGAUGUUCUGCCUAUUUCUGUUACCUGCUACCUUUUUUUUAUUAUACCUCUCUCAA
rnacentral:sRNA from 1 species